rnacentral:rRNA from 1 species
UGGGGAAUAUUGCACAAUGGACGGAAGUUUGAUGCAGCGACGCCGCGUGGAGGGUGUAGGCCUUCGGGUUGUGAACUCCUUUUUCUCGCGAAAAAGGCACAGUUUUGGCUGUGUUGAUGGUAGUGGGGGAAGAAGCGCCGGCUAACUACGUGCCAGCAGCCGCGGUAAUACGUAGGGCGCGAGCGUUGUCCGGAUUUAUUGGGCGUAAAGAGCUCGUAGGUGGUUCGUCGCGUCUGUCGUGAAAGCCAGCAGCUUAACUGUUGGUCUGCGGUGGGUACGGGCGGGCUUGAGUGCGGUAAGGGUGACUGGAAUUCCUGGUGUAGCGGUGGAAUGCGCAGAUAUCAGGAGGAACACCGAUGGCGAAGGCAGGUCACUGGGCCGUUACUGACACUGAGGAGCGAAAGCGUGGGGAGCGAACAGG